rnacentral:misc_RNA from 1 species
CCACCAUCCACGUCGGCCGCCGAACCCAAGCCAACACCGAACCCGAUUCCCAAUUGCCUUAUCCACCCUCGCCGUGAGCCGUUCGAGCAUGGUCUCCUCCCAAUUCCCAAGCUCAUCUUCCCUGACCCUACUCAAACACUCAUCCAACUCAGGCAGAAACUCGUCUCCAACCCCCGUGUUGACACUGCCACCCUCGCUGACACGCUCCAGAUCUCUGCCGACCAUGCUAGGCUCGUUCUCGACACUC